rnacentral:lncRNA from 1 species
UACGUCGACUCUAAGGUGGUUUUGGGAGGUUAUGGCGCUGUUGUCUCAGAGGAGGUCAUCAUUUUCCGAUCGAGGUUCCGCUGAUACACAUAUUCUCCGGCGAGGCGUCUUGUCAUAUGGUGAGCACGGGGAGAAAACCAGUGUGUCGAAGGGGGGUGUGAGUGGUGGACCAGCGGAUAUAUCUUCAAGGGAGAACAAUUUGAAUCUAAAGCAGGCCUGUGUCGGAGAUCUGAUACCC